UACGUAGGGCGCAAGCGUUAUCCGGAAUUAUUGGGCGUAAAGAGCUCGUAGGCGGUUUGUCGCGUCUGCCGUGAAAGUCCGGGGCUCAACUCCGGAUCUGCGGUGGGUACGGGUAGACUAGAGUGAUGUAGGGGAGACUGGAAUUCCUGGUGUAGCGGUGAAAUGCGUAGAUAUCGGGAGGAACACCAGUGGCGAAGGCGAGUCUCUGGGCCGAUACUGACGCUGAGGAGCGAAAGCGUGGGGAGCGAACAGG
rnacentral:rRNA from 1 species